UAGUGAUAACAUAUAUUAUUAUCAUUAAUAUUAAUAAUAGUUGUUUUUUAAGAUGAUAUAUUUUUUAAUAACGUAAUAAUGUGCUGUAUUAUUAUUAUUAUUGUUGUUAUUAUUAAUAUCGUUUUUCUGGUUUUCUUUGUGAUUUCUGUUCAUGGCUGCAUUUGCUGAUAUUUUCACAGUUUUAAACGUUACACUAUUCCAUUUUUAUGUAUUUCUUCCAGCACCGGCUCCAUGUUAUUAUUAUUAUUGUUGUUUUUUACAGUGUCUGAGGGGCUCCAUGUUAUUAGUGUUGUUGUUUUUUUUAACAUGUUCUUCAUGAUUGUUGUUUUACGUGUCAAGGUGAAGCAGCAGCAGGAAUCAGCCCAAAGAGGCUAAAAUAAGCUCUCAGGAGGAGCAGCAGACUUCAGGGUGACGCCGACUCCCUGCAAAGGUAGUAAUUGGGUUCCUGAGAUUGUUUUUUCUCCUCUGAAUUAAACCUCGGUGGAGCUGAAUUCACUCCGUGGGAACAGAAGAAGCUGCCAAGUGCUCCUCCGGCGUCGCUGUGUCUCAGCAGUUUUUAAUUAAAACGCUCCAUUUGUGCUCCGAUCGCUGGCUGGGAGAGAAAUCAGCAGAAUGAGCGACGGAUCGUCCUGCUGGCUCAGCUUCAUGCUCCGCUACCUCCUCUUUAAAACCACAUCUGGAGAAACCUUAGAAACGCUGCUCUACAGAGAAGCAGCAGCAGAAACAGCUCAGGUGUUGAUUCACCUGUUAGACGAUGACCAACAGAACAAAAAGCUCCAUGAAAUUCUGAUCUCAUGAUUCAGAACAGUUGAUAAAGCCACCCAGAGUUUCCCACAAUGCACCAGGAGAGGCAGUGAACAGCUGAUGGUCACCAACCAGCAAUGUUUCCCAUCAUGCAUCAGACAGAUGAGAGUUAAUCAUGGACUGGAGGCAUUUUCACAGAUUUCUAACUGUUAUUUAAUAGUAUUAAGAAGUAUUUUAUACUACAAUGUUUGGCAAUGAAUUUACACAUAUACAGCUUCUCAAGUCUACUUUACUUCUGUCUUCCACUUGACCUAAAACCCAGAGGAGACCAGAAACCAUGAAACUAUAAAAAACAUGAAACCAAGAAACCAAGAAACCAUUAAACCAAUAAACUAAGAAACUACUAAACCAUGAAACUUAGUAACCCUUAAGAUGCUUGAUGUUUGGGUUUCUUCUCUUUCCAUUCUGUCUUUUGCUUCCUCCUUCGUCUCGGUGGUUUCCUUCCAUCAUGGACUGGUUUCCUUCCAUCCUGGACUGGUUUCCUUCCAUCCUGGACUGGUUUCCUUACAUCCUGGACUGGUUUCCUUACAUCCUGGACUGGUUUCCUUCCAGUCGGAGGUCUGAAAGUGUCUCGGUCUGAGCAGACCGUAAAGAUAAUUUGUGACUCGUUUUAUCUGCUCAUAUAAAUAAACCCACAUGAUGGAUGAGACCGUAGAACUUCCUGCUGGAGUCCAGACCGACCUGAAGGUUUUGCUGCAGAGAACCAAACCGAUGUGUGAAGGAUCUAAACUAGGACGUUCUGAUGUUUACUGAACACAUCUGUCACUUUAUUGCUACAGAUUCCUUCACUUCUCCUUGAAUCAGAACAUCUGCACCCUUCUUUCUUGGAUCGUUCAUUUCAUCUGGUCCAGCAGAUGCCUUCACAGAGAACCCUGCUGUUAGAAGAACACCAUCAAAAUGUAUUCAGCACAUUGUUAGAUGUUAUCUUUUGUUGCUCUUUUAGUAUUUCCUUUUGGAAAUGUUUGUACUUCCUAUUUUCUUGAUGUUUAAUUCCUGCUCCAGAACUCCUGUGUGUCUGUUGGAGCACAAACGACAAAUAAAACCCUGAACUAGAACCGAAAUGUUUGUGUAAAAAGAACAGCCGAGCAGAUAAAACCACUUCAAGCCGACAGCAGACUUAUUUAUUCUUCUUCAGCCUCCUGGCAGCUUUUAUCCCAGUGAGGCGUUUAGGGACCGUAGUAAUAAUGUCCUUCAAUGAGCAGAUGUUCUACCUGUUAGGAGUUCAUUCUGAGCAGAUCAUUGGACUGAUGCCAACACUUCAGGACUUCAUUAUUUCUCUUGUUCUGAACGACUAAAACCCGCUGGUUUCAUCCUGGUACCUUCAUGGAGCCUCGACGUUUCCUGACAGAUAGAAAAGAUUCAGGUCCUCAACAUAACGUUCAGGUCUGAGUUUAUCUCCUCAUAACGUUCAGGUCUGAGUAUCUCCUUAUGAUGUUCAGGUCUGAGUUUAUCUCCUCAUGGUGACGUUCAGGUCUGAGUUUAUCUCCUCAUGGUGACGUUCAGGUAUGAGUUUAUGUCUUGAUCAUGAUGUUCAGUUCAGCUAAACAGACGUUGAACUCAGUUUAUGUUUCCCAGAAUAGACUCUGAUCCACUGACGUUCAGGAGGAGCUCAGAUUCCAGCAGUCGGAGAAGAACUGGAGCUUCUAUCAAUAGAUUCUCUUUGGGAACCUCGGACUCUAUUAUGGGCUGUUUGUCUCCAUGACGACGUUUCUCCACAGAAAAAGCUCGUUUCUAAAAACACAGUGAGUGAACCGGAAGGUCAAACCUCAGAGUCUUCAUCUGAACAGAAGCAACCAGAACCUCAGAGACACUGAAGUCAGAACAUCUCAAACCAAAACAUCACGGUUAUCUUCUAGAUGAUCACAUUUAAAUCUGUGUGACUCUACAGGAGAACCUGAGAUGUCCUUUCUGACAGUAUGACUAAAACUCGUUCUUCAUCUGGCGUCUACAGUUCCAGAGACAUACAACAACAUGCUGCUGUUCCACCAGAAACUUUCUGAAAAAGUGACGUAAACCAACUUCCUGUUUAGCUGCAAACCUGUAGCAUCUUAGAGCAGAUAUUUAUCUCAGUCCAGCAGAGUUCUAUGAACCAGCACCAGACAACUUAUAUCUACAGAACAUCUGGUUUGUGUAGAUUCAUCCAGGUCAUGGUGAUCGUAGGAGCUUCAGUAGAAACCAACGGGAUGUCUCUGGUAGGUUCUUGAAGACAUUUCACCUCUCACCCAGGAUCCUCUGGUAGGUUCUUCAAGAUGUUUCACCUUUCGUCUUGGAUGUGGACUCCUCUAGUAGGUUCUUGAAGAUGUUUCACUUAUUGUCUUGGACAUGGACUUCUCUGGUAGGUUCUUCAAGAUGUUUCACCUCUAAUUUUGGAUGUGGACUUCAUUUCACCUCUCAUCCAAGAUGAGAAGUGAAACAUCUUCUGGAACCUAACAGAAAGGUCCGUGCCCAAGGCGAUAAGUGAAACAUCUUCAAGAACCUACCGGAGAAGUUCAGUUGGUUUCUCCUGAAGCUCCUAUGAUCACAGUGUGUUUUUGUUGCAGAUAUGAACACUGGUUUUGUGGUUUGUUCUGCAGGUUUUUCAGGAUUUUUGCGACCGCAGCAUCGCUUUUUAAAUCCACCUUCAGUUAAUGUUGUGUCAUGAACAGUUUGAACUUCAGUCAGACGUGCUGCAGAAUCUAAGAUUGCAGUUUUAGUUUCAGAAGAUUUAAAAAUCAAUGAAUUGUUCGACUUUCAGGUUGACGAACUCUAACAGUGAAAUUUAGGACGUUCCGUGUUGGUGGGAAUGCAUGGAAGUCAGAAUGACUGAACAUCUGUGGAAGCUUCUGCUGAUCUGCUCACAGUGUGGGUUCCUCACUGCAGGUUAAAGCAUCUUUAUAGAGUCUGAAGCAGACCCAAACAUGGCCACGGUGACGCUGACAUUCUCCUCUGUUUGUUUGGUGGUACCAGCUGUUGGAGCAGCAGAAGGACGGAGUGUUGUAGCAACAGGAAGCAGCUAAACGCUAAAAUCAACACCAGCCCAGGAACACGCACAACGUCCUCAGCAGCUCAGAUCAGGAACACGCCAGGGUUGCUGGGAAACGUGCUGCAAACACACACCUCACACACACACUUUACAACACACACACACACACACACCUCACACACACACUUUACAACACACACACACACACACACACACCUCACACACACACUUUACAACACACACACACCUCACACACAUCACACACGCUAUUUCUGCUGCUGAGGCCAGAAGGUGUUUUUCUGCUUAUACAUAUCACACACAUUACAUACAUGACACACACCACAUACACACAUUACAUACAUGACACACACCACAUACACACAUUACAUACAUGACACACACACACAGUGACUGAUUGUGCCCCUGGAUCUAGGAGGUGUUUUUCUGCCAGUUCUAGAUCUAGGAAGCGUUUAUCUGCCGGAUCUAUCUCUCGGAGGUGUUUUUCUGCUGGUUCUAGCUCUAGGAGGUGUUUUUCUGCCGGUUCUAGCUCUAGGAGGUCUUUUUCUGCCGGUUCUAGCUCUAGGAGGUGUUUUUCUGCCGGUUCUAGAUCUAGGAGGCGUUUUUCUGCCGGUUCUAGCUCUAGGAGGUGUUUUUCUGCCGGUUCUAGCUCUAGGAGGUGUUUUUCUGCUGGCUCCUCAUCAGCAUGCAGCAGCAGCAGCAGGAUGAUGAAACCGGAGCUAUAAAUAGAUCCUCCCAGGAUCCCCUGUUUCUCUCUGCUCUGCUCCAAUAAAACUCUGUUUGCUUUGGCAGCGAGGAGCUCCUGAACCAUCUGUGGCUCUGCUUCAGAACAAACAGAAUCAGCUGAUAAAUCAGAGCUGAAUGGUAAAAAUAGAGAACAGCUUCAGUGUGAUCAGGAGACUGCAUCUGCAGCAGAAGGAGUCCUGCAAAUGGUUCAUGUUCAGGUUGAAGGAAACAGCAAAUACCAGAGGACAGGAGAUGUUUGAAGAACUAGAAGGUCCUCUAGAGACGCUCCAGAACUACAGCUUCUAGACCAGCUGCAAAAAACCCCACCAAAGUACAAUGAUAGAAAAGAUAUUUAGCUCUGUGUUCAGGCAGCAACAAUCAGAGCUCAAAAAUGAAGCAAAUGCGAUGGAUCUAAACAGUCUGAACUCCAAGCAGCAGAUUCUGUCUUGUUUUAUCUUCACUGUGGCUCAUUUUAAUGUCCUGAAGCUCUGAGGAACCAGAACAUCAUGAAGAACAAUGAUGGAGGUGUCUUUUGACAGCAGGACUCACUUAGAUGAGGCUCUAAAUGUACAUAAAUCAACUUCAGAAUAGGUUAGAAUGGCAAAAUGUGAUCUAAAAGGACAAAACUUUAUUCAAAGGGACUUGAACUUUGAAUAAUCUGAUCUAAAAAUGCUCACAAAAUAAAAACCAAACAUGAAAUAAAAGAAUGUAGACGAAAACAAAGAAUGUAGACAAAAUAAAAGAACAGAGACGAAAUAAAAGAACGUAGAUGAAAUAAAAGGAUAGACACGAACUAAGAGAAUGGAGAAGAAAUAAAAGAACGUAGAUGAGUUAAAAGAACGUAGACGAAAUAAAAGAAUGGGGGCUAAAUAAAAGAACAGAGACAAAAUAAAAGAAUGGAGACCAAAAAGAAUGUAGACAAAAUAAAAAACAGAGAAGAAAUAAAAGAAUGGACAUGAAAGUUUAUCCUUAUCCUUAAAUAAAAGAACGGAGAAGAAAUAAAAACGUAGACGAAAUCAAAGAACGUAGACGAAAUAAAAGAGCAAACACUAAAUAAAAGUACGGAGAAGAAAUAAAUGAAAGAACAUGAAAUCAAAGACCUGAGAUGAAAUCCAGAGCAGCGUUUUUACCUUCUGACUCGUUUUAACUCACUGAGGUUCAUUUUUAAAAUCCUGCAGCUCUGAGGAAUCAGAACAUCACGAAGAACGAUGGAAAUGUCCUCUGCAACAUCAAAUGUGAAGAAACAAGAUGGAGACCAACAAAAACGGGACUUUAAAAGACAGAAUGAGGACCAAACUGACAGUCUGUGGACGAAUCAUCUCCAUUUUCUGUUCUGUCUCGGUCUGGUAGUUCUUCUAUGUGUUCAUGUUCAUUUUGUAUCUAUUUUUUUCUGCUUUGCGUCUUUUUCAGCUCAUUUUGUGUGUCUUUGUUGUUAUUGCAUUGUAUAGUUGUUCUUUUGCGUCUUUUUCUUUACACUUAUUUCCUGGUUUCCUGCUGUCAGAAGACAUCUCCAUCAUUCUUCUUCAUGAUGUUCUGGUUCCUCAGAGCUGCAGGACUUUAAAAUGAACCACAGCGAAGACAAACGAGACGAAGUUACGCAACACGUUAAAUAACAGCUAAAGAGACGACAUCUGCAGCCUGAAACCUCCGAGGAACCUCCAGAGAUCCAGUCUGAGCCAGAUGAGGCUCCAUGAUGAUCCAGAAACACUCAGAGAGAAACAGUAGAACCUGAACAGACCGAUGGACGCUUCGUUAGGAGAGUCCAACGGACCGAUGGGCGCUUCGUUAGGAGAGUCCAACGGACCGAUGGACGCUUCGUUAGGAGAGUCCAACGGACCGAUGGACGCUUCGUUAGGAGAGUCCAACACACUGAUCAAAGAUCUCCACGGUGCUGAGGUUACAGCUGAGGAAUAGAACACUCUAGACGGGAUUUAGCUUCAAACUGAUGUGACUUUAUUCGCAAUUUUUGGCUUUUUUUAAGCAUGUAAAUCAUAUAUAGAUAAUUUUUUUCUUGAUUUUUUUGGUUAACGUAGAAUUAAAAAAAAAAAAGGGAAA